rnacentral:rRNA from 1 species
CAGUUUGAUCAUGGCUCAGGACGAACGCUGGCGGCGCGCUUAACACAUGCAAGUCGAGCGAGAACCAGGCCUUCGGGCCUGGGGACAGCGGCGAACGGGUGAAUAACACGUGGGUCAUCUGCCCUCGGCACCGGAAUAGCCCGGGGAAACCCGGAUUAAUGCCGGAUAGCCCGCCCGCCCUUCGGGGUGGUCGGAAAAGGUAGCUUCGGCCUCCGGCCGAGGAUGAGCCCGCGGCGGAUUAGCUUGUUGGUGGGGUAACGGCCCACCAAGGCGACGAUCCGUAGCUGGUCUGAGAGGACGAUCAGCCACACUGGGACUGAGACACGGCCCAGACUCCUACGGGAGGCAGCAGUGGGGAAUCUUGCGCAAUGGGCGAAAGCCUGACGCAGCGACGCCGCGUGAGGGAAGAAGGCCUUCGGGUUGUAAACCUCUUUCAGGAGGGACGAAGCCACUCGGGUUAAUAGCCCAGAGGGUGACGGUACCUCCAGAAGAAGCCCCGGCUAACUACGUGCCAGCAGCCGCGGUAGUCGGGCCCA